CACCACUCUAAUUCAUAAGGACGAGACAGAAUUGAUUUCCUCAAAAUUGCCUGACUUUUUCUUUAUCUUUCUUUGGUUGGCUUGUUUCCUCUCUCUCUAAAAUAGUCAUUUCAACUACUAUAAAUAUUAUCCCAGCCUCCCACCCACCCAGCUCAGCAGAUGACUUGUUCUGCUACUUAACCAUGAAAAUGGGACAUAUUAGAGAGGAACCGUAUGAACUUUCCAGAAUCUACAAAUGACGUCCUGAAACUGCUUCUCUGCUGCUCCGUCACCAUGGAAGGCUGGUGAGCUCAGAGCAUCAUCAAGAAAAGCACUGCUACCUGAGUCCAGGGUGGACUCAAGGAUGCACCUCCCAUCCAGAAGCAGGUCUGCUCUGGCUCAGGCAAUGCACAGCACCUAAAACCUCCUGUAAAAUAAAUGCAAUACUUCUUCCUGGGCAAC
rnacentral:lncRNA from 1 species